UGUUAAAAAUUUCAUCUAUUUAUGCUGUUAAAAACUGAUGUGGCUAACAAAAUAGCCAAACAGUGAUAUGUGAUGUGCCACGUAUAUCUUGUAGUGACAUACAAAAACUAGUUUUUAACAGUAGAAUUGAUGGAAGUUACCG
rfam:Gossypium raimondii Chr10_contig_1415, whole genome shotgun sequence.